GACUCUCGGCAAUGGAUAUCUUGGCUCUCGCAUCAAUGAAGAACGUAGCAAAAUGCGAUACUUGGUGUGAAUUGCAGAAUCCCGUGAACCAUCGAGUCUUUGAACGCAAGUUGCGCCCCAACCCUUCUGGCCGAGGGCACGUCUGCUUGGGUGUCA
rnacentral:rRNA from 1 species